CCUAACCCGGUCCGUGAGGGGGAAGCCCCAGCUUUUCCUUCCCGACUCAACAUCCUGAAGGCAAGCCAGGCUGACCACCCCCGGAAAGCGUGAAGAGAGCCCCAAGCGGGCCCCGCCCCAGACUUCGGCCCCGCCCCUGACGUGGCCCCGCCCUGGCGUGGCCCCGCCCCUGGACGCAGCCCCGCCCCCAGAGGCUUCCUCCAAUCUCCGUCGUCAAUUCCCUCACGGUUAUUGACCGUUACCUGGGUGUGACACACAGGCCAGCAGUGAGGGAGAGAGAGAAGGUCCCCCAGGGAAGCUCAGAGAAGAGGGAAGGUCGCCCAGAGUUGCAACAUAGUGCAACAAGAGUUGUGAUGAUGAAAGUGAAGACACCCAUCCUUCUUUGGGAGGGUCAAGGAAGGCCUCCCGGAAGGACCCCUCCUUCACACAGCAGAGCUUCUGGACAGUAGAGCCGAGGAAAGCAUGUCUACCUACAUCUACAUAUCUGGUUACAGGAUCUACCCAGAGAUAGAACCUGAUGGACAAAGAGAAAAAAACUCCUGCUGGAAAUCACAGUAUGAGAAGUUACUACAUCAGACCUCAAAGAAAGAGUGCAGUCAAAACUCCGUGAGAAGGACCUUACUAGGUACUGUUAACAACUAACACAACAGGGAACCCAUGCCUGCCAAGUCAAAAGGCAUAAGCCACAUGAAAUCCCUGGGAGGCUGUCCUGAGACCUCACACAGAGAAAUCUGAGGAAUCAUUCCAGAACAGAUAACAGCAGGAAGUUGCACCUCCCACCCAAGACCAUUGGGACCGCACUGGUAACCACAGGAAGUGCCACCUUCCCUCAAGAUCCACCAGACAAGACCACCAGAGCCACCCGCUGCAGCGCUUUAACCUGCACGUGCUUUUGCUCUUUUCCUUUGUUCUUUCCUCUCUGCAAAGUUAAGGUUUCAGUUGUUAACACUUCUUGUCUGUUAACCAGGAUACCUCCAAGGUCUUUAUCUUUAAUACUCUUUGUUUGUUUUUUUACCUUAGUCACUCCUCGGUACGAGUCCAGUGCCCGGCUACAACAUGCAAUUAAUUACACUGUCUGUUGGGUUUGUACUUACUUUCCUUCGGUGCCAUCCGACUUCCUUUGCUAGAAGUAUCAUGGAAUUAAUCAAAUGAUUUCCUAGGUGAUAAGACUCAACCAAGAAGGGAUCUAGGGAUGGACAAUAUUGUUAACAGGUCAAACAACUAGAAUUCUAAAAUCCCCUGUCAUGUCAUACAUAGAAAGGAAGUAUGGGUUCCUAAACAAAACAAUGCUCAGAAAAUUAGCAUUAUGAAAAUUAGCUGUUCCACGCAAAUUUUCACAAAAAGAAAGCCAGUGGUGGUGGUAAAAUAAGUGACAAGUAGGAGUUUUGAGAAAAUAGGACACAAGGAGGGGGAAAAGAUGGUAAGAGUUCACUGAGGGGAGAUAGGCUCCAAAAAGGUACUCGGGCAAAGAGGCAACAGAGGGAAAUAUUCCUCUGGAGAGUCCACAGACUAUAUUCCCUAUAUUCCCUAUAGGUUUCUGAGCCAGUAUCAAUCCCAGGCUGCACUGGGCCCUGUCACUGCAUAAGUCAUCCUAGGAAGAGGGAUACAGGAAAGAGGGGAGAGAGAUUCAUCUCCGGUUCACCAGAAAAGCUCGUCCUGUGCUUCAUUAGGUUCUUUCAGUCAUCCUCUCCAAUGUGAGAAUCCAAGAGCUUGGGUUACUUGUGGUGAAGAGAGGACCAACGUGAUAUUUUAGGAGGCCGAGUGGAAUGAUCCUUUGGGGCAGACUCUUGGGGGACUAAGACUCUGAAAGCAACAAAAUUAACACACAAGAUAGAAUAGGCCAUGACAAUAAUAGGAAGGCCUUUCACAGACAUUAUCUCAUGGGAUCCUCACAACAACCCUGUGAGGUAUGGAGACCAGAUGAUACCUCAGAGGAGGAACCUGAACCUUGGGAAGUCAGACAGCUUGUCCAAAAUCAGGAUCUGGGGUUUCUGCCUCCAAAACCAGUAGUGUUUCCAAUAUAUCUCACGUGGCCCUCCCCAUGGCAGAACAGAGAAUCCUUGUUGUGAACCUCCCCUCUAAGAGUUCUGUUUUCUAAUGGGAAUUGCUCUAGGAACUGCCAUCCGCAGAGAUUGUGGACCUGGGUCCUCGUGGACAGGUGAGAUUAAGGUUGACGAUACAAAACCUUGCCUUUUAAUGCUAGACCUUUGUUCCUCUUUCUGACUGUGCACUGAUCUUAAGAGACUACAGUGAGUGGCUAGGACCAAAUUUUCAUGCUCUUCUCUCUAGAUUAGCUGCAGACAUUCAUUAUUCACUAUUCACGGAUAAUCUGAUUUUCUAAAUUAAUAGAGCUCUGUUAGUCACUUUAAAGUGAAUAGAAUAUUGUCCACUUUUCCUUCUACAAAAAUUUCAAAAAGGGUUUUCUGUAUGUCAAUCUCAACUAUUUUUCAGUCCCUAUCCUCUUCAGGUAAAGGACACAAAUUGCCCAGAACAGAAAGUUCAUGUGUAUUCCUUCACAUCGGACUUGACCCUGAUGACAGAGCUUGGGUUCCAGCAUCUGAUUUGAGGCUUUCAAAGGCAAGGAGCACUGUUCUCCAUAUCAGCCCCAACACAAAGGGAGGCCCUGGCCCAGAGAUACCGGAGUUGGAAUCACGACUGAUGAAUAGAGUUGAGGGACUCUGUCCUCCACAGGUACCCCGAACACUCUUUAUAAUCCAGUCUAUGGCAGGUGACUCACUGUUAUCAGGGUUCUAUAGGAGCCCUCUAUCAUCCCAGAUAGAGGGACUGUGAGCUUCAGAUAUAAAUCCCAGUUCCCACUCCUAUGCCUGUCCUGUGCCCUGUGAUGACAUUCUAGCCUUUCCUGAGAGUUUCCAUCUCAGGUGGCUCUCUGUAUCAACAUAAUUGGUGUAGAAAAGUAGGAAGAGGAGAAGAUUCCUCUCUGCUGGGGGCUGGCCCUAAGGUUCCUUUGCCAUAUUGAUGUGUCUGUUUUUCCUAAAUGUUGGUAAAAUUUGCUUCCUCUGUAAAUAGUAGAGGAAUAGAAAAAGGAAUCCCAUACUCACAGAAAAUAUAAAAUGGAACUAGUGCCCCAACGCUCAUUGAGAAAGUAUCUGAAAGCAGAGUUUAUCUGAAGUGCACAGAAGCCUCAAACAACUGAGCGCUGAGAAAAUGUACUGUAGACUAGAGUUCUAGGUCCCCACCAUGGAGUUAUGGAAAAGUGACAGUGUUUUCGAUGUGGGAGAGGGUCCUUAAAGAGGAAGGUGAAUCCACAAUCCCUCUCCACAGCAUCCAGCCUAGUAGAACCCUUCACUCCUCCCCAGCCUUCUAGAUCCUUCCAUCCUUCUCUGGGCCUUAGUAUUUUUCCAACUCCAUCCUUUUUUCAUAUCACAGAUAUACUUAUGCCUCCUACAACCCAGAUAUUAUCUGAGUUGUCCCCCUUGGUCACCUCAGCUUUGAUCCUACCAAUUACCAAUUAUAUAGCCUUUGAAAAUGUGAAGUUGUUCCAGGAGUUUUUACUAACUCCCAGGAAUUUAAAUUCUCAAGAUUUCCUGUUCUCAAUUCCAGAUUCCUAGCCAGCAUUAAUCCAGACAUAGGAUACAACUCCACCUUUAUGUUUACCCAAAAGUGUCCACUUUCACAUAAAGCAUUAGUGAGCAAUGUAGCCUUUACAAAAUGAUGAUGAAGAGGACUGGGGCAGACCUCACCCUUGGCAAACAAUUUUAAAAUCCCCAACUGCUAUAAACACUGACUUAUUUCCUUACCUGAAACAGUCUUAGCCCAGGGCACCUAGUCCUUUCCUACCCAUGUGAUGAGGCUUUGCCAAAACUGGCAGCAAAAACAAGAACGAAGGAUAGAUCCUCAGUUAACAGUGCUACUGGGAUACUGUUGCUUUUAGGUACUUUCAGUGAACAGAGAAAGUAAAAGAAUCUAAACCUUGAGUUCGUAUUAAUAUAUCAAAUUUAACACAGGAUUUUUACUUUAAUUUCUCACAUGUAUCUCCUUUCUCCCAUAGUGAAAAGUUUGGAUCUUAACAUUAACAUUCUUAUUUGUCCUUUCCUAAUAUAUAAAUUAUAUAUUUCAAAAUUAUCAUGCAAAUAUUACUCCUAAUAAUAAAACUACUGCGUGAA